GCCAACAUAGCUCAUUGGUUAUAGCCCUGUCUUGUAAACCAGGGGUCGUGAGUUCAAUCUUCACUGGUGGCU